rnacentral:lncRNA from 10 species
GGAGGAGCAGGACCUGCUGGGCUGGGGCCUCAGACCUGCAAGAGCCACUGGGUAAAGACUUCACUAACUUCGGCUUAUUUAUUAAUUUUAAAAUUUAAAUUAAUUUCUAUUUUUAAUUGAUUUUUUUUAAUGCAAAGAACCUAUUACUUUCCAUAGCUGUCCAGAGCUGCAUGUCUGAAUUUCUGUGUGCAGAAACAUAAGUGACUCUCCAGGUGUCAGAGGGAGAGACUGGGGCGAGAGGCCAGAGCAAAGUAGAAGGGCACAGAGGGGCUUUGAAUUUGAGGCAGAGGAGGAACUGCAGAGAGGGGGCGGGGAGGGCUCGCCGGGAAAUCAAACGUCCAUUUACAUCUUGUCCUGCAAAGCUUCAUCAAAACUUCUUUGCCGGCCAGUCACGUCCCCUUAUCACUUUUCCAGCCCAGCUUUGUGACUGUAAGUGUUGGACGGAGAACUGAUAAGGGUAGGUGAUUGACACUCACAGCCUCCGGAACCCCCGCGCCGCCUGCACUUGCGUGAUGGGGAAAACCUGGCGUUCCCGCUCUGGGUGCCCGAGGACAGCAGGGGAUUCCAGGAGGAGACCUUGGGCAUAGGGGGCCCAGGUAUGCGCCCCCUGCCUGAGGAUGCUGGGGUAGCCUUUGUGUUUUGUCAGUGAGAUCUCCACUUUGCUUAUUCAAAAUGUGCUCUCUGCGACUGGGUUUAGGGUCUCCCCUUGAGAAAAGCGGUUGGGUGGUUGGUGAGGGAAGGGGGCUUAUUCCACAGACUUCUUUAUAAGGUGAAUAAAGGGGUAUAGGACUUUUUGGAAUUUUAGGUACUCUUGCUUAAAAAAAAAAAAAGGGAGAGCAGGAAUUUCCGUCUGAUUUGAGGGAAAGUCCCUUUCCAGACAUUUUCUUCAGCUGACAGCUACUCACCAAAUGCUUUUGUCUUUUUCGGUUUAUAGGAACCAUGUGCUGAGACAGAAGGUUUCAUGACUCUAACUAAACUUAUAUUCUAUUACAUUAAAGAUGGUUAUUUAUUACGUUGUUGAUUCAGAAUGAUCUUUUAUAACUCAUAAUUACUUAUACCAAAUCAAACUCAAUAAAUGUCUUAAUUGGCACAUUGCAGUAACGGACUGACACAUAAGCAAGUCUAUACACCUGUGUGUAAAGAUGUAAAACCACAGAUAAAAAUUCCUGUAACUACAAAUGCUUCUAUUUCCUGGAAUGUGAAUACAGAUUAACAUGCAAUGGAUUGCAUCUCAGCUGAACAGGAAAAGAGGCCCACCAGAAUCCUGAAGGAGCUGCUCUCAAGACUUUUACAAAACAAGUGGAUCUGAGUGGCACAACGGGUAGACUGUAGUGGAUGCUGUCAUUUGCCACCCAGAUUUCUUCCACCUUUGAGACUGAAGCACUUAAGUCUUCUGGCUACAGGGAAUGUUGAAUGUUAGCAGCUUUCAGCUAAGUCCCUCUUCCCAGUGAUUGUCCUUGGCUAAUCAUAAUUAUGCCCUUGUCUAUUUAGGGAUCCCAUUACAAAUCCUUUUAUUAGGCCAUCACAUGCAUUUACCCAUUUUACUUAAAAUGCUAAAUAUAUGAAAUUUCUUUGCAAGCUGUAAGUUAUCCGAUGCUUUUAAAGGAUGUCAACAAGGUCAGGAUUAAGGAAUGGCCAUUGCUGGUCAUCUCUGGGCUGGCUGUCACACCUACUUCUAAAUUAAUACUCCUGGCUCUCAGGGGACCUGCAGGUUCUUUUCUCAUUCCUGUCCCAAGAGCAUUUAUGUUCCGUUUUUCUCACUCUUCCCACCUACACCUUUAAAACCUCUUCUUUGGAACAGCAGACUUUACCUCCCACUCCAGACAGGUUUCUGUGCUAAUCUUAAUUUGGCAAUCAUCACUACAAAUUGGAUGUCUAUUCAGCACCUCCUACACCUCUCUAUUAACUCCAGUACAUUAACAAAUACCAAAAUAUUCAUGUAAAAAUAUUUCUCCAUUUAGAGAACAUUGUACUUUAUUCCAGGUUCCUCUGUUUAAUGCCAUCUGAUAAGAGCUGACUAUAGAUCUAAUUAUAAUUUUACUGUAACCUGACAUUUCUCUGUCAGACAUGCAGUGAAAAGAACUCGGAGCUGGGACCGAGAGAGGAGACAGGUGUGGAAAGGUGGUGGAGUAUAGAGGAACACGUAAAUUCCCUCUCCAUAAAAUUAAUAAAAAAAUUGAAAUAGAAGACACGCCAGCAAGGAAUAAAUUGGUAGCAUUCAACUAAAUAAAGGAUUACAAGCUUUUACCAUAAAUUUGAAAGGUAUCAUCAGAGAUAGAAGCUUCUAGAAGUCAAAGCAGAGGCUUUCUCCACUGUUACAAAGCAGCACUUCUGCCACACAUCUCACUCUGAAACUUCUAUUUGAAGGCAACUGAUGGGAAUAGGUGAGUGGGAAGCCUAGGAGAAAGGUGUGGAGUGUUUCUCCUAGGUCAAUGCUUCUCAACAAGGGAAGACAUUUGGCAAUGUCUGGAGACAUUCUUGGUUGUCACAACUGGAGGUAUGGAGGGUGCUACUGGCAUCUGGUGGAUAGAGGACAGGGAUGCUGCUAGACAUCCUGCAAUGCACAGGACAGACAGUGCUCCACAACAAAGAAUUAUUCAGUCCCAAAUGUCAAUAGUGUCAAGGUAAAGAUCCUGCCUUAGAUGUAGAAGCCCUUAUCUUCAUUCUGCAGAUAAACUGUAUUUACUAGGAGAGGAGGAACCAUUUUGUUUUUCUAUGACUAUUUACUCUAUGUUUAACUGGCUAUUUAAACACUAUAUACCAACUGAGUCAAAACCCAGCUAUUGGAAAUUUUUCUUUGUCUUUGAUUUUUGAUAGUUUGGUUAUUAUAUAUCUCGGUGAACUCCUUUCUGGGUUGGAUUUAAUUGGAGAUCUCUGUGCUUCCUGUACCUGGAUGUUGGCGUCUUUUCCUAUAUUUGGAAAGUUUUCAGCUGUUAUUUUUUAAAACAUGCUUUCUGGCUCUUUUUCUCUCUUUUCUCCUUCAGCAACUUUUAUUAUGUGAAUGUUGGGUCUCUUGAUGGUAUCCCAUAAUUCCUGGAGGCUUUCUUCAUUCUUUUUUUAUUAUUUGACUGGAUAAUUUCAAAUGUCCUAUCUUCAAGCUCACUGGUUCUUUCUUCUAUUUAAUCAAAAUUUCUGUUGAAGCUUUCUAUUAAAAUUUUCAGUUCAGUUAUUAUAUUUUUUAUCUCUAUAAUUUCUAUUUUUUAUUGUUUCAAUUUCUCUGUUAAAUUUCUCAUUUUGUCUGUGUAUUCUUUUCCAAAUUUCAUUUAAUUUUCUCUGUAUAUAUUCUUUUAGUUCCCUGACCUUCUUUAAGAGGGUUAUUCUGAAUUAUUUUUCAGUCAUUUUAUAGAUCUCCAUUUCUUUGGGGUCCAUUGUUGCAGCUUUAGUAGGGCUUUCUGGAUGUGUCAUGAUUCCCCGAUUCUUCAUAAUUCUUGUGUCCUGUUAUGGUUUGAGCCCUCUAAAAGUCAUACAGAAACUGAAUUCCCAAUACCAAUAAUAUUAAGACCUGUGGCCUUUGGGAAGUGAUUGAGUCAUGAGGGCUUUGUCCUCAUGAAUGAGAUUAGGACCCUUAUAAAAGGGCUUGAGGUUGAAGGGAACAUCCCCUUGCCUUUCUGCCUUCUGCCAUAUGAGGACACAGCAACAGGCGCCAUCUUGGAAACAGACAGCAGCCCUCACCAGAAACCAAUGCCAGCUUCUUGAUCUUAAACGUCACAGCCUCCAUAUUUACAGCCUGCUAAUUUUUGUAUUUUUAGUAGGGACAGGCUUUCUCCAUGUUGGCCAGGCUGGUCUUGAACUCCUGACCUCAAGUGAUCCACCCCCAUCAAGCCUCCCAAAGUACUGGGAUCACAGGCAUGAGCCACAGUACCAAGCUCUAUGGUGCUUCUUAAACUGUUGCCAGAGAUGGGAGAAUCUUACACCACACUAUACCAAACUCUGAUACAAAUGAAAGAUAGAAAAAAGAAGGGAAAAAAGAAGAAUUUACAGAUUAAUCUCAAUUAUGACAACCAAUGCAAAAAUCCUAAAUAAAAUAUCAGCAGAGAGAAAGCAUAAGACACUAAAAGAAAGAUACACAAAGAUAAAUAAAGCCCAAGAAUGUAAGCAUGGCUCAAUACUAGAAAAUCUGAUGCCAAAGAACUCAUUUGCCAUUGCUCAAUCUUCAUUUUAGGUUUUUAAAAAAAUUAAUAAAAUAGAUACUUCCUUAGCAUUACAAAAAUUUAUAAUCCUCCACCCCAAACAAUCACAACUUAAUGUAAAAAGCCAAAAGCAUUCCCAUUAAAGUCAGAAAUAAGAACUCCUAUUAUCAUACAUGAGAAAGACAUAAGAGGUAAAAAAUUUAGAAAGGAAAAAGCACCUGGUUAUAAAUUUAUAUCAAAAAUCAAACCUUCAUUAUUAGUAACCAGUUAGAAAAUUUAACAAAAGAUGUGUUAGUCCAUUCUUGCAUUACUAUAAAGAAAUACCGGAAGCUGGGAAGUUAUAAAGAAAAGAGGUUUAAU